CGGAAGGGAUGUAUUUAUUAGAUUAAAAACCAAUGCCCCUCGGGGCUCUCUGGUGAAUCAUAAUAACUAGUCGAAUCGACAGGCCUUGUGCCGGCGAUGGCUCAUUCAAAUUUCUUCCCUAUCAACUUUCGAUGUUUGGGUAUUGGCCAAACAUGGUGGCAACGGGUAACGGAGGGUUAGGGCUCGACCCCGGAGAAGGAGCCUGAGAAACGGCUACUACAUCCAAGGAAGGCAGCAGGCGCGCAAAUUACCCAAUC
rnacentral:rRNA from 13 species